GUGAAUCAUCGAAUUUUUGAACGCAAAUUGCACUCUCUGGUAUUCCGGAGAGUAUGCCUGUUUGAGGGUCAGUUUUAAUAACAAUCGGUGUGGUUGCUGCCUUUCGUGUUGACGCACCGGAGUUGGGUCGUCUUGCCUUCGGUUAAGUGCCCUAAAAUUUUGCAUGAUAUUUCCUUACUUAUUUAAAUG
rnacentral:misc_RNA from 1 species